rnacentral:rRNA from 1 species
GAUGAACGCUGGCGGCGUGCCUAAUACAUGUAAGUCGAGCGAACAGAUGAGGAGCUUGCUCCUCUGACGUUAGCGGCGGACGGGUGAGUAACACGUGGAUAACCUACCUAUAAGACUGGGAUAACUUCGGGAAACCGGAGCUAAUACCGGAUAAUAUAUUGAACCGCAUGGUUCAAUAGUGAAAGACGGUUUUGCUGUCACUUAUAGAUGGAUCCGCGCCGCAUUAGCUAGUUGGUAAGGUAACGGCUUACCAAGGCAACGAUGCGUAGCCGACCUGAGAGGGUGAACGGCCACACUGGAACUGAGACACGGUCCAGACUCCUACGGGAGGCAGCAGUAGGGAAUCUUCCGCAAUGGGCGAAAGCCUGACGGUGCAACGCCGCGUGAGUGAUGAAGGUCUUCGGAUCGUAAAACUCUGUUAUUAGGGAAGAACAAAUGUGUAAGUAACUAUGCACGUCUUGACGGUACCUAAUCAGAAAGCCACGGCUAACUACGUG